AUUGAACGCUGGCGGCAGGCCUAACACAUGCAAGUCGAGCGAGCGGCGGACGGGUGAGUAAUGUAUGGGGACUGCCCGAUAGAGGGGGAUAACUACUGGAAACGGUAGCUAAUACCGCAUACUAUCGGAUAACCCAUAUGGGAUUAGCUAGUUGGUGAGGUAAUGGCGCACCAAGGCGACGAUCCCUUGCUGGUCUGAGAGGAUGAUCAGCAAAACGGGGACUGAGACACGGCCCAGACUCCUACGGAGGCAGAAGUGGGGAAUAUUGCACAAUGGGCGAAAGCCUGAUGCAGCCAUGCCGCGUGUGUGAAGAAGGCCUUCGGGUUGUAAAGCACUUUCAGUCGGGAGGCGUUACCGACAGAAGAAGCACCGGCUAACUCCGUGCCAGCCGCCGCGGUAAUAC
rnacentral:rRNA from 1 species